UCCGGGCUAUUGUCGAUGAAUCGAACCGCUCCCUUUUCUACGUACACGGCUCCCUAAGGCAGAUGUCUGGUUUUAUGCUGAUUUGAAUAAGCUGGGAUAUUCUAUUGAAACAGCGGAUAAUAAGCCGUCAUGAGCGACGAAGAAGCCGAUAUUCUGGAAAUACGCGGCCAUGUGAUCGACCCAGGGAUCUACUGGGACCCAGCCCGCGAGGUCCAUUCCGUGGACGUGUAUACUGGUAUCGAGCUUUAUCAGCACCUUAAGCUGCCAGUAGGAGAUGACCGGGAGUUACGGCGGAUGCUGGAAGAAAGCUUCCGAGAAAAGAAAAGGAUGACAAUUGAAUAUCUCAUUAAAAACAAAACAAUUUUGACCGUCAAAUAUCGAUAAAACAUCCUUACUGUACAAUUGACAUAUCAUCGAUGCUUACAGGAGAAAGCAAAUAAAAAUAUCUUAUAUUAAUGCCUUUUCAAAA